GAUGUUCGGCGGGAGGUUCCUACGGAAGCAGUUUGCUGAUGUUAUGGCAGAGCUGGUCCAACCAAUGUGGCUGGUCGAAGAAAUCUGGCAUCAGUUGCAGGAGUAGUGGGCCAGCCUAGACUUUUAGGAGGAGGCCACUAAGAAUAAGACCAAUGAGGAGGCCAAUACGACAGGCAACAACUAUCCUCCCGCAGGCAUCUCUCAUUAGGAUGCACAAAUGGAAACUAACAGGAGACACAGCUUGUUCAGACUCCAAAGCAAAUGGAGUUGUUCUCCAAAGCUAUAGGAAGAAGGGUGAUAGGAACUGGAGCGGUCCGAGACAGAGCAGGUGGUGAAGAUGUUAGAGGAGCAACUGGUCUAGGCAACGCCAAUGGGCAAGAUCCUCCAGCCUUUUCUAAAGCAUCGAUAGACAUUACUGAGCAAUAAUUAUGGAUGUCAACAGUGGGAGGCGGGAAUAAGGAACGUGUUUUCGGUCUACGUUCAAAAGCCCACAAUUCGGCUGCUAGAUCAUCUCAGCCCAGCCAAACGCGUACGUCGACACCGCCAGCCACACACAGAUAUUGAUGAACGGGUCAUGAAGAGAUGUUCAUGCAUGUGAUGAUGAAUCUACCCAUUCCUCCGUUGCCCGACCAAUCGCAGCCUCCAGCUGAUCCCCCAACCCUCGACCACGGUGCACACAGGCCGAUGCAGAUGAU